CUUAGAAGUGAGAAUGCCGGUGUGAGUAGCGAAAGACGGGUGAGAAUCCCGUCCACCGAUUGACUAAGGUUUCCAGAGGAAGGCUCGUCCGCUCUGGGUUAGUCGGGUCCUAAGCUGAGGCCGACAGGCGUAGGCGAUGGAUAACAGGUUGAUAUUCCUGUACCACCUAGUAUCGUUUUAAUCGAUGGGGGGACGCAGUAGGAUAGGCGAAGCGUGCUGUUGGAGUGCACGUCCAAGCAGUAAGGCUGAGUGUUAGGCAAAUCCGGCACUCAUAAGGCUGAGCUGUGAUGGGGAGAGGAAAUUGUUUCCUCGAGUCGUUGAUUUCACACUGCCGAGAAAAGCCUCUAGAUAGAUAACAGGUGCCCGUACCGCAAACCGACACAGGUAGUCAAGAUGAGAAUUCUAAGGUGAGCGAGCGAACUCUCGUUAAGGAACUCGGCAAAAUGACCCCGUAACUUCGGGAGAAGGGGUGCUCUUUAGGGUUCACGCCCAGAAGAGCCGCAGUGAAUAGGCCCAAGCGACUGUUUAUCAAAAACACAGGUCUCUGCUAAACCGUAAGGUGAUGUAUAGGGGCUGACGCCUGCCCGGUGCUGGAAGGUUAAGAGGAGUGGUUAGCUUCUGCGAAGCUACGAAUCGAAGCCCCAGUAAACGGCGGCCGUAACUAUAACGGUCCUAAGGUAGCGAAAUUCCUUGUCGGGUAAGUUCCGACCCGCACGAAAGGCGUAACGAUUUGGGCACUGUCUCAACGAGAGACUCGGUGAAAUCAUAGUACCUGUGAAGAUGCAGGUUACCCGCGACAGGACGGAAAGACCCCGUGGAGCUUUACUGUAGCCUGAUAUUGAAAUUCGGCACAGCUUGUACAGGAUAGGUAGGAGCCUUUGAAACGUGAGCGCUAGCUUACGUGGAGGCGUUGGUGGGAUACUACCCUAGCUGUGUUGGCUUUCUAACCCGCACCACUUAUCGUGGUGGGAGACAGUGUCAGGCGGGCAGUUUGACUGGGGCGGUCGCCUCCUAAAAGGUAACGGAGGCGCUCAAAGGUUCCCUCAGAAUGGUUGGAAAUCAUUCAUAGAGUGUAAAGGCAUAAGGGAGCUUGACUGCGAGACCUACAAGUCGAGCAGGGUCGAAAGACGGACUUAGUGAUCCGGUGGUUCCGCAUGGAAGGGCCAUCGCUCAACGGAUAAAAGCUACCCCGGGGAUAACAGGCUUAUCUCCCCCAAGAGUUCACAUCGACGGGGAGGUUUGGCACCUCGAUGUCGGCUCAUCGCAUCCUGGGGCUGUAGUCGGUCCCAAGGGUUGGGCUGUUCGCCCAUUAAAGCGGUACGCUAGCUGGGUUCAGAACGUCGUGAGACAGUUCGGUCCCUAUCCGUCGUGGGCGUAGGAAAUUUGAGAGGAGCUGUCCUUAGUACGAGAGGACCGGGAUGGACAUACCUCUGGUGUACCAGUUGUCGUGCCAACGGCAUAGCUGGGUAGCUAUGUAUGGACGGGAUAAGUGCUGAAAGCAUCUAAGCAUGAAGCCCCCCUCAAGAUGAGAUUUCCCAACUUCGGUUAUAAGAUCCCUCGAAGAUGACGAGGUUAAUAGGUUCGAGGUGGAAGCGUGGUGACACGUGGAGCUGACGAAUACUAAUCGAUCGAAGACUUAAUCAAUUUUUAAA
rnacentral:rRNA from 1 species